rnacentral:lncRNA from 1 species
CAUUAUGUAUUAUAAAACCUUAAAUUAUUCUGCAGUCUGCACAAGAUACAAGAUAAAUAAAUGCAGCAUAAAUGGCCUACGUUAACAAUGUAAAGAUUGAAGCAAUGCAUGCAAAUAGUACAAUGGAAAAUUAAUGGCCUAAGUAACAAUGUAAAUAUUAUAAGACUGAAUUUGAAGAGCAGUUAAUCAUUGUCCAUUGAAAUCUCUCACCAUAAACUAUAAGAAUAUGAAGAGCAGUUAAUUCUUUGCUACAGUGAUAUCCCUAUCACUGCCUCCAUUUUCCAGAUGGCAAUGAAAACCAAUAACCAAAUCACAAAACUUACAAGCACCAAUCUCAUUAUCUAAUGCAGAAGUAAAUUUUCAUUCCCGUUGUAGUUACAUUGAUGAAAUAAUAUUUGUGUGCUCUAUCAAACACAAAAACCACACAUCAAGAAACAAAGAUGCAUCCACAAGAGCAUCAAUUUAGGGACGAAAUAGUAUAAUGGCAAAUAUCAGAAGUGCGUACCUUCAAGUUCAAUGUCAUUUUGAUGAGCUUCUAACCUGUUGUAACAACAAACAAACACACCUUAGUUAAUCAAAUAAUUAAAAAUAUGAUCCAAACCCAAAAGAUAAUCUCAAAUUAAAAUGAAAAUCAUAACUAUUCGGUGUUUUCUUCAAUUGAAAAUUCUCUGUCAAAUUUAUAUACCUGUAAAGUGAAGGCAGUGACAAUAAUUGCCAAAGCAAGAGUUCCUGACACGAGGAACCUGUUGUAACAACAAAGAAACACACAUUAGUUAAUCAAUUAAUUAAAAAUAUAAUCCAAACCCAAAAGAUAAUCUCAUAUUAAAAUGAAAAUCAUACAUCACUGUUAGGAGAAGAAGGAACAAUAUCUUCAAGUUUUUUGGAAGUUGAAACUUCAACUACCUGUGUCCAACACAAACAAACAAACAAACCCCACAAAACAUAAAUCAUUAAAAAUCAAAACUUAACUUUGUUUUGCACAAAAUAACACAAAAUUCAUCUGGGGUUUGAUUAAGCAUAAAUCAAUUGAUAAAAAUUCAAUUUUAUCAUUUGAAUGUUUUCUGCAAAAAUUAAAAUAAAAUAAAAACGAAAACAGUUUGAAAGAGAGAAGAGAUUUUUCUAGUCACACGAGUUUAUUGACAUUCAAAGAUCCAAUUUCAUGGAGGAUUUCAAACAUGCAAGAUCAAAAUUUGAGGAAUUGAAAUUUGGGGGUUAGGGUUGAUGAUUUUCGGCCUACCUGAGAGGAAGAAUAANNNNNNUUGAGGAAAAAAAAUGGAAGUGAUUGGACUUUCCGGCGACGGUGGUUGCUCGCCGGAAUCUGGGAUGGGGAUGAACAUGCAUGGUGUUCUUGUUGUUCAUCAUGAACAACAUUAGAUGGUGAGAAAAGAGAGAGAGAGCGCGUAUGAGAAAGAGAGAAGAGAGAGAAAGAAACUUCUCAAAUGAAAAAAAAUUAAGAAAAAAGAAAUAUAUAUCCUUCUGGGCCCCAAUGCAUGUUUCUAGUUUACCACUUGUCACUUUAUCAGUAUGAUAGACAUCAAACCUUCUAGUAAGUCAUGUAAACAUGUAAACCUAGAAUGAAUGAAAACCUAGGUGUGUCACCAUUAUAUUGGAUGAUACACAAAGAUGUCAAAUCCCAAUUGGUUAAAGAUUAGGGUUUCAAAUCACCAAAGAAUUAGGGCUUCCAAAACAGCCUUACUUUUAGUAUAAUAAGAUA